GGAUAUAAUCGAUUUAACAAUACUAUCUUAUCAUCGCUGAGUGGUCUUUCAUCUUUGAAAUACUUAUAUCUCUUUUCCAAUAGAUUGGAAGGAAUAAUUAAAAUGCCAGGUGAUAACUUCACUUUUUUUUUUUCGAUUUUGCCUCAAACUAUUAACAAUAUAUAUGUACACUGACGUGUGUUGAGAUGUGCAGAAUUAAAUAAUUUGAUAGAAUUGGAUAUGGAUGGCAAUGAAAUCAAAGGCUUCAAUUCUUACCAUGGUACAAUAUAUUUUUGUUUUCUUUACUUUCUAUUAACAACUUUCUAUUAUUCCUCAAAAGUGUUUGACCUGAGUUAUAAUUUCUUUACUCUAUCAUUCCUAAAAGGGCUUUCAUCUCUCAAAAAGCUGUAUGUAAGAGCCAACCAGUUGGAAGGAGCAUUCGAUUUGAAAGGUUAUUUCCCUCUCUUUAUGAUUUAAUUUCAAGUAAUUUAAUUUAAAAUUUAUGUAAUUCAUGACGUAAUUAGUCUUACUUUCUUAUUAAAAGUGUUUUGAUCUGCUUUGGGUGUUUCUUUCCUCAAGACUCUAUAUGAUCUCUUAAUUAGUUUUACUCAUUGGUUUCUCAAGACUCUAUAUCUAAGUGAAAGUAAUUUGUUUCUCAAUGCUUAUUAAAUAUUCAUUUGGUGUUUCAUAGAAAUAGUGUUACGAUUGCUUGACCACAAACAAACAAAUAAAUAUAAAAGUUUUUGAAAAACAAUACAAUAGAAGUUAUAGUAAGGGGUUGGUGUGACACAUCACACAUCACAUUUUGGAAGCCGCUUUCUGCAAACGAUUAUCUUUAUAACGAAUGUUAAAUUACGUUAUUUUAUGGCUCUAAUAUGAAAGUUUUUGCAAUAUAAGGGUUGGCUUAGCUCGCAUUUUGAGAGGAAAUUUUUUUUUUUUCUAAAAAAAAAAUAAUCAAGAACUAACGAGAGAAUAGAAUUUCGAAAUGGAGGCAAAUUUUAAAUUUUUUUUUCAAUUUAUAAAGUAUCUAAAAAAAUUAAAAUGGUUAAAUUUUAGGAGUCAAAAAUAUUGAAAAAGAGUUCUUAUAGAAUGGUUAAUUUAACUUUUUGUAAUUUUUUUAAUUAAAAUAUAAAAAUGUAAUUGGAUGGAUGGGAGAAACUUCGCUGAAGGAUUCUCCAACUUGCAUUUACUUUGCAACACUCUUUGCACGUCAUGGACCAUUUUGCUACUCCUCCCUAUAUAUAACAAGCUAGAGCGAGUUGAAGAUAAGUAUUAAAAAUGGAUAUAAUUAAGAGGUAUUGUUGGAUAUUAGUGAUUUUAUUCUUCUUAAAAGAGAGUUGUGAUGGCUGUUUAGAGGUAGAAAGAGUUGCACUCUUGCAAAUAAAGUCUUCCUUCAAUUCUUCUAUUUUUUAUUAUUCUUGGAGGAUAGAUAGUGUUGACUGUUGUUAUUAUUAUUGAGUGCGAUGAAAUUACUAGUCGAGUUACAAAACUCAACCUUGCAUACCAGAGGGAUUGGCCUUCAUAGAAUGAUUUUUACCUAAAUGUCUCUUUGUUUCUUCCAUUCCAACAAUUGAAGUAUCUUUUUUUUUUUUGGAAAUGGUAUAGCUGGCUGCGUUAAGAAUGAAGAUCAUUUUAUCUCCGUAUAUUUAUCAUUAAUUAUGAUUCAAAAUAAUUAAAUUUAUGUAUAUUUUUAAUAUGCUUUUUCAUAUAUGCAGGUUUUGAAAGAUUAUCAACACUUUCCAAUUUGGAACUUCUUGAUUUGAAAGAGAAUCGAUUAAGCAAUAGUAUCUUAUCAUCGCUGGGUGGUCUUUCAUCUUUGAAAUACUUAAAUCUAGCUGACAAUAGAUUGGAAGGAAUAAUUAAUAUGCCGGGUGAUAACUUCCCUUUUUUUUUUUUGCCUCAAACUAUUAACAAGAGGCAGCAGAAUCGAAGGCUCUAAUUAUUUCUUUUAAUUAUUAAUUUGAAGGACUAACUUUUUCUUUUCGUCUCAAACUAAUAAUUAUUAAUUAUUUUUUCUAACAAUAUAUAUGAAUGUCAUUUGUACACUGACGUGUGCUGAGAU
rnacentral:lncRNA from 1 species